rnacentral:rRNA from 1 species
GUGGGGAAUUUUGGACAAUGGGCGCAAGCCUGAUCCAGCAAUGCCGCGUGUGUGAAGAAGGCCUUCGGGUUGUAAAGCACUUUUGGCAGGAAAGAAAUAGCGCGUGCUAAUACCAUGCGCGAAUGACGGUACCUGCAGAAUAAGCACCGACUAACUACGUGCCAGCAGCCGCGGUAAGACGUAGGGUGCAAGCGUUAAUCGGAAUUACUGGGCGUAAAGCGUGCGCAGGCGGUUUUGUAAGACAGGUGUGAAAUCCCCGGGCUCAACCUGGGAACUGCACUUGUGACUGCAAGGCUAGAGUGUGUCAGAGGGAGGUGGAAUUCCGCGUGUAGCAGUGAAAUGCGUAGAGAUGCGGAGGAACACCGAUGGCGAAGGCAGCCUCCUGGGAUAACACUGACGCUCAGGCACGAAAGCGUGGGGAGCAAACAGGAUUAGAUACCCGAGUAGUCC